UAGCUUUAGUUACUUUGCAUAUUCAUAUUCAGACUUUAUUGAUCCGAUGGUGAAAUUCAAAAACUACCUGCAAAGUCAAACUUCUGCUGUUAUUUUGGUGAAAGUAAUGCAAAAGUAUUGUUCUGCAUUUACUCACAGGUUUCCAGAAGAAGAUGCAGAAGAAGGGGGAAAAAAGAACAAUGAAAUCCUCCUUGCAUGGACCAGGUCUGUCCUAAAUCAUAUGUGGUUUUCCUGUGCAACCAGUAAGGGGGACGUUGAGGUACUGAAAUUCCCGUGUAAAUCCAUUCUACACCAUGUGUGUAAUGAGCAUGAGUGUACAGAUGAUGACGGAGGACAUCCUGUGGCAUUUCAAGACCUGUCAUCGCUGGUCCUUGAUAAAAGGCUUCUGAGAGACAUGGAAAAGAUGGCCCUGUUCAAACGUACUGGUGAGAAGUUGCGCUUGU